rnacentral:rRNA from 1 species
AUGGCGGAGCGAGGGCCGGCCGCCGCGUCUAGGAGGAGGCCCAGGCGGCGGCGACCGGGGGAGACCCUUGACCAUCAACAUCCACGCCCCUCCUCCUCUCUCAAGAUCCCCUCUUGGAGCCAUACGAAUCCUUGCUCCACCACCGCCCAAACCCCCCAUCCGAGCCAUCUGAAUGCUUGCCGCACCGUCGUCCCUACGACGACGAAUCCCUCCUGGGGAUCCAAGCGCGUACGUACCGCGUCUAAUCGCAAUCCACUCCUCCACGAUCCUGAUGCUAAUAACUGCAGGGACUGGGCGAGCCUCGGGGAAGGUCCGGCGGGGCUCAUCGCGGAUUUCGUCCUCGCCAACGACGUGGCCGACUACGUCCGCUUCCGCGCCGUGUGCGGCCCGUGGCGGCGGUGCUGCACCGACCCGCGCGGGCACGGCGCUCUGGACCGCCGGUUCCACCCCAGGCGCUGGGUCAUGCUCCGGGAGAAGCUCGCCUACGCCCGCCGCUUCCUCAACGUCUCCACCGGCGAGUGCAUACAAACGGAAAUCUUGGAGCUCCGCGAGCAUGACGAGCUCGGGCUCACCCCCGAGGGCCUCAUCAUCUUGCUCCACGGGCCUAGCCGCACCCACGUCCGUCUGCUCAACCCGCUGACCCGCCAGCAGCUCACAGAUCUCCCGCCAUUAACCACGCUGCUACCUCCAGAGCGCCACUCCGACCUCCUUCCCGACCGUGAUUUUCCUCUCAGAGCAUGGGGCUCUGGCAUUGCCGCAGAUGAUUCCUCGGUCGUGCUCUGUUUCAACUCGCGAUGCAUCCUAGGCAUCGCCAAGCCUGGCGACGAGCGCUGGACAGUGGUCCGGUACAAGAACUCAGUACACACUGCACCCUUGAUGUUUGCAGGCCGCUUCUAUUGCACCACAGAAAAUGGCAUCCUGCUGCUAGAGACAAGUGCAGAUCAGCCACCACGCAUGGAGGUGGCUGCCAGAUUGCAAAAGCCAAUCUCGGCGAUGAUAAUGGAUAGCGCACACCUGGUGAACAACGACGGUGAACUGAUGCUGGUGCACCGCACGCUUCGGUACCUCAGGAAUAGAUCAAGGAGGAGGACGUACGACGUUUACAAGGUGGAUUUGGAGACCGGAACUCUACUCCCGGUCAUGAGCUUGGGCGGCCAGGCAUUGUUCAUGGGUUUUUAUUGCUCUCUUUCGGUUUCUGUGGACAGUUUCCCCUCCAUAAGUGGUGAUACCAUAUACCUGAGCUUCGAUUUCAAAGAAAGAGUCCAUGAUGAGGAAAUAGAGGCCUGCCAUCUCCCAAAAAGAAGCACGAAAUCUGCUCAUUACAACCUGGACAGCUCCGUGCCUUGGCCUCAUAAAGUAGUGCCGACGCCUCAUACUCUCAUUGAUUGUUUAUCCUUGUGUAAUACCGUUGAAGCAAGUCCAAAACAUGUAGCCUUGGUAAUUUGA